GCGGCUGCAGCACCGGGGGUCCCGCCGCGCACGCACGAGCCGGGCUGUGGCAAUAAAGAACCGCUGUGCGAACCGGGCUCUGUGCAGCUUUGUCCGUGCUUUACUUUCCAUUCCGUGUAUUCCAGCAGGGUGUAAGCGUUUUCUGCAGCACGAUCCGCACCGUCUGUGUUCCUGGGAAAGCCGCUCCUUCUCCCUGCGAGCAGCGAAUUCACCUUUGGGGAGCGCGCCUGGUUCCAGCUGUGCGGGUAUCGCCCAGCUGUGGUUUCUGUGUAAAAACACCGUGCGAGACAUCGGUGAAUUCCAGAGCACCCGAGUGCUUACCUGACUCAUUGUCCCAUGGUUUUUAACGUGUUGCCCGUGUGUGCUUUUCCAAGCUUUUGAAAACUUGGCUGGUUUGUGAAGAAAGCAAAGCUCUCUGCAAGGAAUUAGUCAGGAGUUCUUGCAGUUUACAGUAAUUAUUUCUAUCAAGGUACUUUAGCGCACAUGCAACUUCUUAAAAUCUAUUACAGACGUAAAUGAGUUGUUCACCAGACAGAGAAAAAACCCGUCAGAGCAGAAUUAUCUAGUGAAAUGAUUUAAAGGUUGGCUUAAAACUUAGAGUUGACAGCACCUUACCUUGUUCCUGUCUCCAGACAAAUUUAAAAGGAGAAAAAAAUAAUCACGAAAAACAGUGAAAAUAAUUAAUUAAUUAUAUCUAAUAAUUACAUCACUUCACAGUGCUGUCUUACAGGGUGAGAGACAUUCCCGUGGGUCUGUGCUCCAUCCCAUACAAACCUUUAAAAAUAUUUAAACCACCAUCUGCUCUUAGGACUGCCAACAAAAAGCCGAUAUAUUUAAACCGUUCUCUAAAUUUCACACAGCUAAACGUGGGCACCCAUUUUUUCCCUUUUGCAGGCCCACAAGGCUGAGUCCCACACAGGUCACUCAGUAAGAAUUUUUAGAAUAUGGGUGAGUGUUCACUUAUGCUUUGAGCUGAAAUUAUCUGCAAAGCUAUCAUGAGAGGUUCACAUUAAAAAACAAUUAAAAAGUGCACAAGGAGGAAAAUUGUGAUGCAUCUCUUCCUGAGCUGGGGCAAAUGCUUUGGCUGCUCCAGCAGCAUCACCUGAUGGAGGUGUUGCCUUCCUCUGGAGGCCAAGUGCCACAUUGCCCAGAUGUGACAGCUUAAACUAAGUAAAAGUUUACCAGGCAUAAUAUAGGAGCCUUUGUGCCAAAAUAUUGUCAUAGAGAAACACUUUCAGAACUUCAGAGGACGCUUGGUUUUGGAAAUAGGCAGCACAUAAACGUGGCUGUCUGCUAAAGGACAAGAUCCUGGGGCACAGGUUCAGGGUUAGUUGUCCUGGGAAGGAAGUUUUUUGGAAGAUGCUGAAGAAAACUGGGCUUUGCUGAAGUGAGGCAGUCCUUCCAUGGCAUCCAGGGAAUGCCAGCAGGCACCUGGCUCACAAGAAGCAAGGUGGAUCUAUCAAACCUGUCAGCUGUCCAUGCUCAGUGCAGGGGGGGAGUGAACACAGGUGCUGCCUCCCAUUUGAGUUACAUGAGAAGAACCUGCCUGGAGCAGGAUUUGUGUGUAGAUCUGGAUCAUAAAAAGUUGCACAGUGAGCCAGCAAAUGCAGCGAGGAUACCACUGCAUCAGCAGUUGCUGGAACAAUUGAGAACUGUGCUGUAACUCUGUUUCAGAUUGAAUGGGCUCAGGAAAAUAGGACUAUUAAUCUGCCAGCAGCCUGGACACAGUAGCAUGAUAAUCCAAGCAAAGCAUUUACAGCUCCAGAAAUUAGCUGUGGGAUUACAGAUGAACAAACACCAUCCAGAGCUGCAUUCCACCAACUGAACCUCACCUCAAAUGACCCUGAUGUUGUACAGUGUGUUUCAGAAGGAAACACUUCCAGGGCUGGGGGAUGAUGCAGACCAGCUGGGAGCUCUGUGAAGCUCUCGAGGGAAGAUCUCCAUCUCCAGAUCUGAAGGCAUCCCCAAUUGUCUCACCUGUGUGCCCUUUCCCUUCCAUCGGGUGAGCUGCUGCUGCUCCCCUGAAAUGGCGUCUGUGGGGAGGGUGACAUCAUGGAUCCGUAUGCAAAUGAAAGGAGUGCAAAGGACAUUGGGACACUAUUUGGAGCUAAAACCUCUUAAGACAAUGAGCCCAAAUGGUGUCUGGAACUGAGGAUAGUGUUCCCAGGCUGGGAAAACAUUGCAAGACAUGAAUUUAUUAUCUUGAGCUGCUUUGAUUCUGUCUUCAUGACCUGAACAGCACGCUACCAACAUGAC